rnacentral:misc_RNA from 1 species
GAUGAAGAACGUAGCGAAAUGCGAUACUUGGUGUGAAUUGCAGAAUCCCGUGAACCAUCGAGUCUUUGAACGCAAGUUGCGCCUCAAGCCAUUAGGUUGAGGGCACGUCUGCCUGGGCGUCACAUAUCGUUGCCUGAUGCCAGUUUCCUCGUGAUGGGUGACUGUGCAGGGCGAAUGAUGGCUUCCCGUGAGCAUUGUUGCCUCAUGGUUGGUUGAAAAUUGAGUCCUUGGUAGGGAGCGCCGUGAUAGAUGGUGGUUGAGUGACGAACGAGACCCAAUCAUGUGAGACACCUACCGAAUUUGGCCUUCAUGACCCACAUGCGUCUUUGGAACGCUCAUGACGAGACCUCAGGUCAGGCGAGGCUACCCGCUGAGUUUAAGCAUAUCAAUAAGCGGAGGA